UACAGAGGUCUCAAGCGUUGUUCGGAUUCAUUGGGCGUAAAGGGUGCGUAGGCGGCGCGGUAAGUCGGGUGUGAAAUUUCGAGGCUUAACUUCGAAACUGCAUUCGAUACUGCCGUGCUUGAGGACUGGGGAGGAGACUGGAAUUUACGGUGUAGCGGUGAAAUGCGUAGAUAUCGUAAGGAAGACCAGUGGCGAAGGCGGGUCUCUGGACGAGUUC
rnacentral:rRNA from 1 species